UACGUAGGGGGCUAGCGUUGUCCGGAUUUAUUGGGCGUAAAGAGCGUGUAGGCGGCCAGGUAGGUCCGUUGUGAAAACUCGAGGCUCAACCUCGAGACGCCGAUGGAAACCAUCUGGCUAGAGUCCGGAAGAGGAGAGUGGAAUUCCUGGUGUAGCGGUGAAAUGCGCAGAUAUCAGGAAGAACACCCGUGGCUAAGGCGGCUCUCUAGUACGGUACUGACGCUGAGACGCGAAAGCGUGGGGAGCAAACAGG
rnacentral:rRNA from 1 species